AUGGAAGGCUCCGUCUCGGAUGUUGAGGAAGUGAAACUACUGAAGGAUGUCAAGGGGAAGAUGGAAGAUGCUGUGGUGGAGGCACCAGACUGGCUCCCAGAUGGUUGGAUCAUGGAGGUCCAAUGUGGCGACAAUGGUACUCUAUAUAAGUAUUUCAUUUCUCCAGUGUCAGGGGCCAAAUUCAGGAUGAAGCCUGAGGUCCUGAACUACCUUUUCUCCGAGAUGGAUGAGCACUACUUAGAAGCCAAAGAUAGUGUUGAUCAUAAGAUGCUUCCUAAGUCACAUGAAUGGCUUCCAAAAGGGUGGUUGCUUGAGAUCAGAGCGGGCGGAGAAAAUAUGGACAAGAUGUACAAGAUCCUUGCAGAAGUGGAGUUCAACCCAUCUGGGCUACCAGAUGGAUGGGUGAAAGAAAUGGUGUACCGAAAAACAUUGAAAGGAACAAGGAAAGACCCGUACUACACAGACCCUGUUAGCAGUUAUGCAUUCAGGACAUUGACGUCCGCAGUUCGCUUCCUUCAAACAGGAAACAUUACAAAACGUUCGUUUAUUCAAAGGACAAGUGUACAUGAAUUGUACAAUUUUGAGAAGUCUGCUGAUCUGCAUGAGAGUUUGCGCAAAAGACUGACAAAAAAUGUGAUGAAUGAUAAAACAAAUCCAAGUCCUUCGAGACCUAGAAGAUCAAAAAAAGUGAAAAAGAUAGAUAUGCAUGAGCAAAAUUCAGGUAUUCUUAAGUUCCUCCAGCCGUCGCUGCUGUGA
rnacentral:rRNA from 1 species